rnacentral:lncRNA from 1 species
CGGGGGUGCGCGUCUUCCGGCCGACCCUCCUCCUGCUCCUGCUAUGUUGCUGACCCACGCUGCUGGCGCGAGUGGUCUUGCCCCUCGGGACCCGAGGAGGGAGGAGUUCUUCGUUCCCUUCAGCUUUCAGGCCCCAGGGAGAACCUUUCAGUCACAGGCAGCCUAGGUUCAAGAAGAAGAAAACCUGAGGCCUCGGCUCACCCUGACAGGGAAGUGGCGUGGGGACCGCUAAAGGACUGCGAGGUUCCACUGCCCAGGGCUGUCUAACCGCUUGCUUUAGACUGUGGGUGCACGGAGUCCGUCACUCAGCCUCCAGGACCAGGGCUCCUGAUGUGUGAGCGCGUUCCAUUCCCCCAUUCCCACAAGAACCCUCGCUCCCGCGAAGGCCUCCUGAGCUUGCGCGACUCCGCUGGGCCUUGGAGAGCUCUGGGGAGGGAGGCGCCUCUCCAGCACCCAGAUCCCCAGCCUGCAGCGCCUCGGGGCCAGUGUGGCCCGGAAUGGCAGGCUGGAGUGCAAUGGCGCGAUCUUGGCUCACUGCAACCUCUGCUUCCCAGGUUCAAGUCAUUCUCCUGCCUCAGCCUCCCGAGUAGCUGGGAUUACAGGCACCUGCCACCACGCCCAGGUAAUUUUUUGUAUUUUUAGUAGAGAUGGGGUUUCACCAUGUUGGCUAGGCUGGUUGCAAACUCCUGACCUCAGGUGAUCCACCCGCCUCGGCCUCUUAAAGUGCUGGAAUUACAGGUGUGAGCCACUGUGCCUGGCUGCAAAUUGUUUUUUUAAAUUGCUCAGUUAAACUCUGUUAAAUUGAAUUUGUCUAUAGUUUUUCUUUUAAGAGAUUGAAAGGUUGCAACAAAGUUUAGAGAGAUAUAGAGAAUAAACACAUGUCAGCGAAGAGAG